GGAAGUGGUAGCUCAGUGGUUAAGACGCUGGACUUCUGCUUGGAAGGUCAUGAGUUCAAAUCCCACCCCGACCA